rnacentral:rRNA from 1 species
UGGGGAAUAUUGCACAAUGGGCGAAAGCCUGAUGCAGCGACGCCGCGUGAGGGAUGACGGCCUUCGGGUUGUAAACCUCUUUCAGCAGGGACGAAGCGCAAGUGACGGUACCUGCAGAAGAAGCACCGGCUAACUACGUGCCAGCAGCCGCGGUAAUACGUAGGGUGCAAGCGUUGUCCGGAAUUACUGGGCGUAAAGAGUUCGUAGGCGGUUUGUCGCGUCGUUUGUGAAAACCAGCAGCUCAACUGCUGGCUUGCAGGCGAUAGGGGCAGACUUGAGUACUGCAGGGGAGACUGGAAUUCCUGGUGUAGCGGUGAAAUGCGCAGAUAUCAGGAGGAACACCGGUGGCGAAGGCGGGUCUCUGGGCAGUAACUGACGCUGAGGAACGAAAGCGUGGGUAGCGAACAGG